rnacentral:rRNA from 1 species
UACGUAGGGUGCAAGCGUUGUCCGGAAUUAUUGGGCGUAAAGAGCUCGUAGGCGGUCUGUCGCGUCGGCUGUGAAAACCCGGAGCUCAACCUCGGGUCUGCAGUCGAUACGGGCAAACUAGAGUAUUGCAGGGGAGACUGGAAUUCCUGGUGUAGCGGUGAAAUGCGCAGAUAUCAGGAGGAACACCGGUGGCGAAGGCGGGUCUCUGGGCAAUAACUGACGCUGAGGAGCGAAAGCGUGGGGAGCGAACAGG